CGGAUCCCACGGAGAUCACGGCUGCCCUUGUCAUUUUUGUGAUUUGCAGCUUGUAAUUUUGGUCUCAGUUGCAUAGUCACAAAAGUGAUCAUGGGCAGGUGGGGCAGCGCCGCGUUGGCU
rnacentral:pre_miRNA from 14 species